GAUCCUGGCUCAGGAUGAACGCUAGCUACAGGCUUAACACAUGCAAGUCGAGGGGAAACGAUAUUGGAAGCUUGCUUCCGAUAGGCGUCGACCGGCGCACGGGUGAGUAACGCGUAUCCAACCUGCCCACCACUUGGGGAUAACCUUGCGAAGGUAAGACUAAUACCCAAUGAUAUCUCUAGAAGACAUCUGAAUGGGAUUAAAGAUUUAUCGGUGAUGGAUGGGGAUGCGUCUGAUUAG
rnacentral:rRNA from 1 species